ACUCACAGUGUGGUCCACAGACCAGCAGCACCGGUAUCGCCUGAGAGCUUGUUAGACCUGCGUGAUCGGCAUUUUAACAAGAUACCCAGCCUCAAUCGAGGGUUCUCCGUAAACAUGGUUAGCCUCCCAAGCUGCUGUCCUGCCAGUUGAUACGAACGUGGCCUGUGGCUCGCAGAAAGACUAACUCAUGGCACUGCCAGAAGACCUCCACGGAGCACUGACAGAGUAACCAGAUUAACUGAAAAAACACCCAUUCAGUCAAGAUCAUGGGCUUUGGAAAAUCUCAGUUUGCUGUGGAUUUUUAAAAUGAGGUGCAUAAUAUACAGUGCCAACUUGUUCCAAGUGGUCAUUGGCAGACCAUUAGCUGGAAAACUGCUUCCAGUUUUCAUCACUGUGCAUAACUGACGCUCCCUUAGGGGAGCUGUCUGUGCCCUUCACUAGAAGUCCUAUUUUAGCAUGGCAACUACUGGAUUAUUUUAUUAUGUGUGCAGAUGGCAUGAUGUAUUAGAAAAAAAAAAAUCACAGCAGUUCUGCAAUCUCAGUGGAAGCGUUCAUGAUAUUCUGCCCUGGUAGGAAUGUAAACAUGUCUUGAUUAUGUUAGUUAUGAUGUCUAAAGGUAUUCUGUCCAACUCUUAAGCACUUUACGUGAGAACACGACACCAAAACCAAUCAGCGUAAUCAGUACACGUGGGAAGACGAGUAUUCUCUCUCUUUUUUUUUUUUUCUUUUAUAAAUCUUGUCCUCUUUCUGGCUCAGACUGUCCAAGACAAACUCCACUCCUGGCAUAUCCCCAGUCAUCUGUGGUAGAUUGGUGAAAACAUGGCCAUAAUACUGUUAGACUUAACCUGUUGAUACUUUAUGCAACCAGCUGGAUUUCUUGCAGUGCCAAAGGGGAGUAGAAGUGGGCUGGUGGUUGAAAUAUCUUAGCUCUUGGUUUCUGGUACUGGGGCACAGCUUAGCACAUCCACAUGCAGACAAACACAGGCGGCUUCUAGGUGGCCAGUGUACAUAGUCACUCCUUCUAUAGAAGAGUGUUUUCGAAGAACAAAAGGGGGUGGGUUUUUAAUCAAAGACCAUGGUGGGUUGAGAGUAAGGGCGGCAGAGUGCAGGUUUCCCGUGUGGUCUGACUUUACAACUUCAGAAAACCUUCUAGGUCAAGUUUAAAUCACAGAUCUCUGAAGAGGGAAAUAGCAAGCGUCCCCCUGCGAGCCUGAAGAAGGAAAAGGGCCCAAUCCACACUAGGUUCCUACCUCAGUAGAGAACCUAUUAGUCCCCUUUAAUCCUUUCUGGGAUUAUAUCCACAAUUAAUUAUUUCUUUUUUACUAUGUCUUACAGCAAAGCACAGUCCUGGGAAACCAGUCAACCCAGCUAUUGCUUGUCUUUGGGCAUUAGAGAGAGAUCCAUAUUUCCUGACCCUACGUAAUGCUUUAGCUUCCCCCACCCCACCGGAAAUACAAACUUGGCUGAAUCAAAAAUUCAACACAUAUGGUCUGGGUACCCACAGUCCCAAUCUGGGCCUGACAGGUAUCAGGCUUUUCUUUAAAUAUGCAUACCAACCCUGCGACCCUGCCAGCACAAGGACGUUUGGCCAUUUUAGGGGGGUCUCUAUACAUGCACUCAUAGUCUGGUCUCCCCUGUGGGGGGGGUCUCAAGAAAUGCACAGCACAUUGGAAAAUGCCCCCACCUGAGAUUUGGAAAGCUGAUAGGGGAAGGGAAAGAAAUGUGAUGCAGGUGAGUCACCUCGUAGGAUGACUCACCACAAACCUGUCAGGCUGUGUUGCCAAAGAAGGGGGGCUUCCGAGAGGGAACUUGGAGGAGUUUCAGUCAUCACCAAGAUCUGGCCUUUCGACAGGUCAGCACCAGGACCACCAGGCUCUCACAGACCAUAAUUUUUUACAAAUCGAGAAUUAGGCGGCCAAACCCUGGCUGCCAAUGCCCCUAAAGAUAACAUUUUGAUCUCUCCUGCCCACCUCCUGAGUUUCAGUUCCGACAGCAAGGCUUCCUUCUUCUUUGAUCCUUCUUUUAUUUAGCAAGGCUUUGUUGAGCACCUACUAUGUGCCAAGCAUUGUGUUGGGGUAACAACAGAGUGUGAGGCCGACUCUCCGUGCCCUUCUGAAACCAUAUCUCCUCCCCUACAAAUGCUGCCCCCAUCCCAGCUUUUCCACAAUGAAAACAGAAUUCAGACACCUGAAUUCACCCCUGGCCAGAGUAACCUCACAAAAUGCACCUGGUGGCAGGCAGUUCCCUUGGCCGAGGAAGGAGACAGUAGCAUCAGGCCACACGUUUGCAUCCUUGUGUACAGCGAACCCUUCCCGGGCCCAGACUUAGCUGGUAAGAGCCUCCCAAAACAGCUUUCAGUUGCGUUCCUGGAUAUUCACCCUGGUCAUCUGUAUUCCCCUCCUGGGGAAUGACCGCUGGUCAUUAUGCUGGAUUCUCUGAAGCUCCAGUUCUCAAAGGAGUCCUGGGGACCCAGAAUAGGGCCUCCAGAGUCCAUAAGAACUCCUGUCAGGAGCUGAGAUACUGUAGCUGGGAAUUAACUGGUUUAUGAAUUCAGGGUCAUUCUGAGACUAUGGCUAACCAUCUUGGGAGACUGGACACGCCUUAUGGUACAGAUGGUCAUUAAAUGAUGGAGGUUCAGCCUUCCUUCCUUUGGCUUUCACAAAAUAUGUUCUGAACAAUUAAAUAAGUAGAGUUUCCUAGUCUUUUUUUUUUUUUAGUCAAAAGUGUACUGACAGAUUAUUAAAACGUGAUGGGCAAGAGUGGAGAUGGGAAAAGGCAAACCUGAAGACCCAUGAAAGAACCCAGUUGAAGAUGGCGUGUCUAUAAAUGCCUUAAUUCCUGGCACACCAGGUAUUUGUGUAUGAGCUUCGACGUGUUUUCCAAACUGUCAACCUCAUUUUGAAAUCAUUUGGGGGGAUGGUUUUGGAAACGUGGUGGCAUAAAAAUCUGAGCGGUCAGUUGCUAAACCAGCAAAAUGGAGAAAUGACUUGCUUCACAGCCUUUGGGUUCUUUGUUCCGUGUUGAUCCACAAUUUCCCCAUCAUUACUUCCUGCUGUGCUGCACCUUCUUCCCAAGAUGUGUGGAGGAAAUUUUACUUCCCAGAAGUUCAGGAAUGGCUGUGGGGAGGCACAGGAGGUAAGGGAUAAACAUUUUGAUGUCUAAGGGCUAUAAACUGUUGAUGCUUACCUUUUCCUUUUACUUAAACCUCUGCUACACCUUUUACUGAAAGCCUGACACCCACACUUGUGCAGGAAAGACACUCUUGGGAAUGAACAGAAAUGAAUAAUUAUCAGACUCUCUGGGGUGCCAAGGGGAUUAGCUUGUUCCAGCUUCAGAACUGAAUUUAAAAAUGCAGAGCAUCGGUGGUUCUGCUAGGGUGAAAAGCAAAUCACUUCAGUAGUUUAAGACAUACCUAGGGGAUAGAGAUCCUAUAAACUUUCUCAUGGGUAAUGGCAUCCCUUUAGCCCCCUGCUCAGGCUCUAUGAGCUGUGUAACUGCACAUUUGACUUCUACCUCCAAAGUAGGGGAAGCAACCCCAAGUUCUCUCCAAAGGCACUUCUAGUUGCUCAGACAGAGAUUAACAGUCCUUAUUCUGAGGGAAUUCUGCCAUUUUUUAACACUCAAGGGGAAAAGGAGUAUCAACUGUACUGAAGAAUAUAAACUAAGGAUAGAAUCCUCUAAUGGAUUUACCCUGGUGUUAUUUGCAAAGGUUCUCUUUGUCUGCAAAUGUCACCUGAUUGAUUUUGGAGAGGAACAAUAAAAGUCUCUCUGAAGAAAAGUUUCCAAGACCCCCUUAGCACUUUAGCUUUACCCAAACCUCCUCUUCCCUGUGCCAUUAGCAGCUUCAUUCUUUGUGAUGUUUUCCCCUACGUUCUUUGGAGUAAUUUUCUUACUUGACAACUAGACUUAAGAUUGCCAUAGACUCUUUAAAAUCUAAUCUUUGAAAAUGACAUAAAUUCUUUUAUGCCUUAAAAGCUGUUUUUAUUCACCUCUCCCACAACCCCCUCCACCCCACUCUUUUGCUUUGUUGGUUUUUUUUUUCUUUUAAUCUCUUCUUUUAACGCAAUUCCUUGGGUAGAUUUUGAGUAUUCUAUAAAGAACUCAAACGGAAAAACUUAGCCAUCCCCUCUUUCCGCAGCACUGACUAAUAAUUCCUUCCUCCGCUUGAUCUUAGUUAAGGCUUGCUGCCCAAACAGCAGUGGGCUGUGGAUUCCCAUCUCUAGGGAGUGACCAGUCAAAAGUGCUCAUCAAAACAGAACCCAUGAGAUUAUGAGGGAGGACAGACCAGGAGAUGCUUCUGCUCAGGGCACAGCUGGGGACUCGAUUUCAAAGACAAGGAGGUCCUGCUUCUUUGUUUCUUUAGAUCUGCAUCUCAUCCUGUAGCCAGAGACUAUCUUAUGAAUUCUGCUUUAUCAAAUUGCAUGAUUCCUGGUGCCACUGCACAGCUUCAGGUCAAACAGAACCCCAUUUCCAUUAUUUUGCUCUGGUACUCUUGUGGGGAGACAGGGAUAUUCUUUUGACAGUGAAUCAGCUGUGGGAAGCGUGAGGAAAAGUUGGCCCUGUGCACACGGAGGUUCUGCCACACCUUAAUAAAAAGAACACAAUAGAUCCUUCCCUGGAGAUUCUCAUGUAGGAAGGUGGCCAGAGGGAUGGUAUCAAUGCUGGUUUUCUUCUGGCCAUCAUCUUGGCCCUGCAGGGAAAAUUCGGGGGUGGGGUGCAGAGUACCAUUUCUAAGAUCUAAAAAUUUUAAGAUGAAAUUCACCUAUAAGAUAAAUGUAAAGGGUAAGUGCCAGUGAGGAUGGGACCAGUUUUAGACCUCCUGCCCAACAGCACAAAGACUGACAAAUGACUUCCCCAGAACAGCAGAAAAUGGGUGUAAAAAGCUUUGUAAGACCAGAGUUUUGAGCACCACAUGGGGCGAUUUUACAAUCUUGAAGAGCCCCAAGCAUUCUUACUUCAGAGCCUCCCUUCUCCAAUUACAUCAAGCACGAAAAGGCACCAACAACAUACACCUAAUAAAAUUUCAAAGUAACCCUGUGACUUACACCAAAUUGCAGUUGACUGGUUGACAUAAUGUUAAGUGUUGUAGAUACAUUCUUUGUGAUUAUACAAUAUUCUUUUCAUAUUUUGGAGCCAGUGGUUCAGGGAUUUCAUUUCUUUAACGGCUUGUUUUGUUGCUGUUGUUCCAAACCUCCAACAUUUCCAGGAGCCUUAGUAAGGCUCUUAAACCCAGGCCUUUUUGCCUCCAGUGCAGAGUGAUAGAAACAGCCCUACUGACGUGAAUGAUGCGGAGACUGUUACAUUAAUCCAGUUGGAGAUGCUAACACCCAAAACAAUGAAGACACUGAAGACUGCUGGUUGCUUUCUGCAUUGCUUAGAACCUUUUAAAUGUCAGUUGUUUGGAUCAAAGGGUAUAAACGGGCUGUGCUCCAUGUGGCUUUGCCCUGUUAGCACACACAGUGAUCAAGUGUGGAAUUCUAAGCUGGGUUGAUAUGCAAGAGCUCACAGAUCUGUUUGUGUGGUUAUAUUUAAAUACCACCCUCCCCAAAUUCUAUAAAAACAUAUUUAGGAGCUUUACUCUGUAAAAAAAAAAAAAAAAAAAAAA